CCUGCGCGCUCGCGGCCCCGCCCGGCCCCGCCCCUGGCUCCCUGGCUGGCCCGAGAUCCGAAGCCUCGCGCAGUGUCUCUCACCAAAGCCGCGGAGGGCAGGGUGGGGCUGGCAACCCGCGCGGGCAGCAGUGGCCCUUCUGCCUCACACACACAAGCCUUCCGUACGCGGAUGGUUAGACAGUUGUGUGUGUACGUACACUACAUCUUUUGUCCAGCAUUCUGCUAACUCUUCCUACGUUUAGCUGGACUGAGGCGUCGCUGUCGCCCCAAGUCCCCUGGAGAAAAGCUUCAGGGGCAGAAUUACCCCCGUUGUUUCAUGCAGCCAGAGCCUCUUUCUUCGUAACCCAAAGAAUCCGGACGGACCUGCCUUUCCCAGAACGGAGACCCUGGCCUCCUUGGUCUCCUUUUACUGCUCAAACAAAAGCCCGAAUUGGAAAGACCACCCCUAAACUGAUGUGUUUGCUCUAAUCGGCGCCGCGUUUUCCUCAGGCACCUUUCCGCCUUAGUCCUUUUUAGCUGACAGGAAUAAUUGAGCAUUUGCGAGGAUGCUAAGCUAAAAAGAAAACUCUGAAAAUUCUACACAACGUCUUGCCCUACGUGCACGUCUGUCUGUGCAACGCGGUUUCCACAUCUCCGAGGGAGGGCUUUUAUUCACAAAGACUGCGGGUCUUUAGGGGCUUUUUAGGGCAUAUGGAAGGAAAAUUGCAAUGGAGUUAAUGCCUCGGGGUAGAGAGUGAGAUCAAGCCCUCACACCCUUAGAAUUCAGAAGGUUCUGUUGGUACCACAGUUCCGUAGUCUGUUUAGGUUUUGUUGUUGUUGUUGUUUUGUUUUGUUUUGUUGUUUUCCUAUUUGCAAAUUUGGUUUGACUCAAGCACCAGGAUAGGGGAGGGAGUUCCAUCCAACACCUUGCAGGGUCAGCCAACUUGGGUGGGAUUUUGCUGGAGGAGAGGGGAGAAGGUGAUGUGUCUGGCGCCAUGAUCGGAAGUCUGGGUUUAAUUCUUAGCUGCAAGGUGGAAAAAUUAUGUGGGAGGGCGAUCUUAAGAGGUGAAGUCUAGUCGUCCCUUCUCUUAGUAGGCAGAAGGGUUAUUCUGAAGGCUGGUUUUGCUGGUCUUUCCUUAUAGUUAGGGGCAGUUCCAAAGAGGUCUUCAUAAGUGCACUCCGAAAAUCACACUCUCUGCUUGCUUGUUCAAGUCUUCUUUAAUCUCUUUAUCUGAACUUGAUGU
rnacentral:lncRNA from 1 species